AAUAACUCAAUCAAUAAAUAGACCAAGGAACUGAACAAACACUUCUUAGAAAAUGAUAUACAAUUAAUCAACAAAUAUAUGAAAAAAUGUUCAACAUCUCUAGCAAUUAGAGAAAUGCAAAUCUAAGAUUUGAAACUACUAUUCUAAGAUUUCAUCUCACUCCAGUCAGAAUGGGCAGCUAUUAAGAAAAAAAAAACAAAAACAAGUGUUGGUGAGGACGUGGGGAAAAAGGCACACUCAUACAUUGCUGGUGGGACUACAAAUUGGUGCAGCCAAUAUGAAAAGCAGUAAGGAAUUUCCUUGGAAAACUGAGAAUGGAACCACUAUUUGACCCAGCUAUCUCACUCCUUGGUUUAUACCCAAAGGACUUAGAAACAACAUACUUCAGAGAUGCAACCAUAUCAAUGUUUAUAGCAGGACAAUUCACAAUAGCAAAAUUGUGUAACAUACCUAGAUGCCCUUUAGUAGAUGAAUGAACAUAUACACAAUGGAAUACUACUACUCAAGCAUUAAAAAGAAUAAAAUCAUGGCAUUUGCAGGUAAAUGAAUGGAGUUGCAGGAUAUCAUGCUAAGUGAAGUAAGACAUUCCCCAAAAAACAAAUACCAAAUGUUUUCUCUGACAUAAGAAUGCUGAUUCAUAAUGGGGAUGGGGGGAAUCAUAGGAGAAAUAGAUGAACUUUAG
rnacentral:lncRNA from 1 species